rnacentral:lncRNA from 1 species
UGAAGAAAUGAAGCUAAGGCAGAGCUAAAUGGUGACAAAUUCUACGGAGAGCACAAGAGAGGUGCAGAAGGACUAUGUAGGGCAGAUGAAAAACUAAGUCUGACAUCAUCUACUGAGUGGAAAGCCAGUGAUUGCUAUCUGAGGUCUGGGGGUUGCAGUAUAGACAUGAAAUGCCUGGACUAACUAGGGUGUCCAGAAUGAUAGAACAUGGAAUUCAAGUAUGCUUUGAAGGAGGACAGAAAGGAUAGAGUUUCUGAAGCAUCAGGGCAAUAUUCUGGGAACUGUAUAACAAUGGUAUCUACAGAAAAAUUGUUGCAAGUCUUUGAAAAAAAUUCAACAAACUUCUCGAUCAGAGGACAACUCACAGAAAUCAGCUUCUUUCUCAGGGAUCAAACACAGGAAAGAAACCCCACCAUUCUUUCGGUUAUAAUCACACGAUUAGCAAACAGACCCGAUCUGACAAGACACUUCAAUUCAAAAAUUCUGUCUCUCGCUGCUGAAUGCUUUCUUUAAUAAAGUGGAAAGGCAAACAUUUUAUUCAUCAGAGGCCUCUCUUCAGAGGAAUGGGGAAGAGGGAGAGCCAUGAAACAUGCAGAGAUAUGAAAUUCACACUAGGCGUUGUUUCAGAACAGGAAGAGUUGGGAUAAAGACUCUGCUUAGCUUGCUAUCUGAAUACAUGCAGAAGAUGUUACUUCAGUUUCACAAUCAUGGU